CCAGUGUGCCGCUAGAUGGUGUUGGUAUUGUUUUUAAAAAUGGCGAAAUGUGUAUAAAAGUUAUGUCAUCUUCUGUAUUCGAAUUUUCAAUGUUUUACUGCCCAAAAUCAAACAAUUAUUUACAUACAAUGUACCUGCCGUCUAGUCAUUAGAUUAAAUGUGGACCCCAUUUAAAGAAAAAAUUUAUCAGCACUUCCUAAACUCACAGCUUCAUCUGCAUCAUCCUCUCACAUCGUAGACAAAACUUCAAGCUGUUUUGCCCAAUAGUUGUGGCAUUGGACCUAUGGUUACAGGUUUGUUCUUGCCUGAAAGAUGUUUACACCUUUGAACACUUGACGGUGUUGUUGCGUCAUGAAAUUGUAUUGCUGCCAUUCCCUGUAUCUCCCACUUCACAGAGCUCUGCAAGAAAUGAGUAAUAGGAAGCCUACAACAGAUUGAGGAAUUAAACAAUUAAUAGGUUCCGUGAUAUGCCAUUGGAUUUCGCGAGUAGCCGCCAAUGUCAAACUACAACGCAGUUUCUUUAUUGGAAUUGUGUGGUCCUGGCACAGAAAUCCUUGAUGCUGGCCUUUGUUCAUAACAGAAGAGUGACUUCUACCACUUUUCUGCUCCAUCCUAAUCUUCGCUACCCACACUCAUCUAGCUUCUCUGCAUAUUAUGCUGCUAAACAAUUUGCCGUACUUCACUGACGAGUUAGACUAGUCGCUUCCGUCCGCAGCGACACAUGUACUGUCACUUACCACGGGAUUAUGCCCAGAUACGGAGAUUGGUGAUACUCAAACUCAACCUUAACUUCAAGUGUCAAGAUUGGAGUUGUUUAGAUUGGAGUGCAAUUAAAGCUAACCCGGCUAAACAUUGAACAGAGAAUGCAGUUUAAUUUAAGCUACUAAGCAACCAUAAUCAGACAAGGAUUUAACACCAAAAGAAAGUGUGGUGUUUCUUUUGGGACUUUCAAUAAGGAUGGAGUCGGUACAAUUGUAUAAUUAAGGAAUAAUUUGGGCAAUGGCGCAAUGCUAUUCUUUUUUGACACAGCACAGAAUUUACAACCCUUCAACCAAUUUUGACAUCUUCGAGGCAGAGGGCUAGAUGCCCACCCCAUUGGCAUUCCAUAUCUCUGACAUUGUUUGAAAACUUCGUAGGCUGAUUACUUUGCAGCCUGCCCCUGUACCUACACUGACUUUGCAGAGAUUUGGAUAGAUGUGUUGCUGUUGCAGAGGUUUUCUGUUAAUUCAAACAUAUUUUUAAUAUAUUUUCCUUCAUAAAUAGUAAAAGUUUUUGAAAACUGAUAUUGUAUCCAAAUUCUUAUCCAUAUCCAUGUAAUUGUGUUUGAUUUUACGGUGGGGUUCGAUUAGAUAGUGAAUAAUAAAUAACAUAAAGAUUAA
rnacentral:lncRNA from 1 species